AUUGAUUCGUGGCGGGCCUCGUUUCUGCGAUCGGGCUCUAUAAACUUUUGUAUCAGCUCUCGUUAGACGGCUACCAUAGCUAUUAUAAUAUGAGCUGCAAUCACUUUUACACCAUCGUCGAUUUUAAACACACACACACAUACACGUUUAAGACACACGAAUGUAUUAUGGUUUCCACUAUAGAGACCCCGUAAGUACUUAACUCCGCGUAUAACUAGCUGCUGUUUCAGUCGAAUGUCGUAUAAUGUACACAAAUGGCGAUCUCAUGCAGCCUCAACUUUGUCCGUUUUCGAGAAAGAUCCGGCGUUCGUUUCUAAUGGCCGAGAAGUUUAACCUCAGCACGAGAUAGUGGGGUGCCGUUUUAAUUUAUGUCGGAGUAGCAGAAAGAAGACGUUCCAAGAACUUAACAUCGAAAUCAAACAUUUUUCAAAUCAAGUAGAAUCAAUAAUGGCUAAUGACUGCUUUGAACUAUGUUGUGUAGGUUUACACAAACUAUAUACAUAGAAUUCGGUGGAUUCAUCAGUCAUAAUACAAACCGACAUUGUGCUACAAUAAACGAUUAAUUAUCUAUCUUAAACGAUCACUCCAACCAACAUCGGAGAUUAAUAUGCAUUCAACAUAAGAACACCAAUUAUGAAUUGUGAAAAAUAUAUCGUGAGAUUUGAAAUUUAGACGUUAAGAAUUACUUAGUUUUUAGCUUAUGGAUAUGACGUGUAAAAAGAAAAAAAAACAAAAAAACUCUGGUAUGAACUGAUCGAACCAGCAUUUAAUUAUUUGCAUAGGCACCGUUGCAAAUUUUAUAAGAUUACAUUAU